rnacentral:rRNA from 2 species
UGAGGAAUAUUGGUCAAUGGGCGAGAGCCUGAACCAGCCAAGUAGCGUGCAGGAUGACGGCCCUAUGGGUUGUAAACUGCUUUUAUGUGGGGAUAAAGUGCGUGACGUGUCAUGCAUUGCAGGUACCACAUGAAUAAGGACCGGCUAAUUCCGUGCCAGCAGCCGCGGUAAUACGGAAGGUCCGGGCGUUAUCCGGAUUUAUUGGGUUUAAAGGGAGCGUAGGCUGUCUAUUAAGCGUGUUGUGAAAUUUACCGGCUCAACCGGUGGCUUGCAGCGCGAACUGGUCGACUUGAGUAUGCAGGAAGUAGGCGGAAUUCAUGGUGUGGCGGUGAAAUGCUUAGAUAUCAUGACGAACUCCGAUUGCGCAGGCAGCUUACUGUAGCAUAACUGACGCUGAUGCUCGAAAGUGCGGGUAUCAAACAGG